rnacentral:rRNA from 1 species
AUUGAACGCUGGCGGCAGGCCUAACACAUGCAAGUCGAGCGGAUGAAGGGAGCUUGCUCCUGGAUUCAGCGGCGGACGGGUGAGUAAUGCCUAGGAAUCUGCCUGGUAGUGGGGGAUAACGUCCGGAAACGGGCGCUAAUACCGCAUACGUCCUGAGGGAGAAAGUGGGGGAUCUUCGGACCUCACGCUAUCAGAUGAGCCUAGGUCGGAUUAGCUAGUUGGUGGGGUAAAGGCCUACCAAGGCGACGAUCCGUAACUGGUCUGAGAGGAUGAUCAGUCACCCUGGAACUGAGACACGGUCCAGACUCCUACGGGGGGCAGCAGUGGGGACUAUUGGACAAUGGGCGAAAGCCUGAUCCAGCCCUGCCGCGUGUGUGAAGAAGGUCUUCGGAUUGUAAAGCACUUUAAGUUGGGAGGAAGGGCAGUAAGUUAAUACCUUGCUGUUUUGACGUUACCAACAGAAUAAGCACCGGCUAACUUCGUG